GAUGAACGCUAGCGGCAGGCCUAACACAUGCAAGUCGAGGGGUAACUAGAGUGAUAGCAAUAUUACUUUGGCUAGACCGGCGCACGGGUGCGUAACACUUAUGCAACCUACCUUAUACUGGGGAAUAACUUCGAGAAAUCGGCGCUAAUACCCCAUAACCUCUCGAAGAGGCCUGUCUUUGCAAUUAAAGCGCCGGCGGUAUAAGAUGGGCAUGCGUCCAAUUAGCUAGUUGGUGAGGUAACGGCUCACCAACGCUACGAUUGGUAGGGGUUCUGAGAGGAUGCUCCCCCUCACUGGUACUGAGACACGGACCAGACUCCUACGGGAGGCAGCAGUGAGGAAUAUUGCGCAAUGGACGAAAGUCUGACGCAGCCAUGCCGCGUGCAGGACGACGGCCCUAUGGGUUGUAAACUGCUUUUGUACGGGAAUAAACCCUUCUACGUGUAGGAGGCUGAAGGUACCGUAAGAAUAAGCACCGGCUAACUCCGUGCCAGCCGCCGCGGUAACAC
rnacentral:rRNA from 1 species